rnacentral:lncRNA from 1 species
UUUGGACUUGCUGCUGCAGCUGCGGUUCUGCUGUGUCAUGCAAGAAGGAGGCGGCGGCGGCGGCCGGAGCUGGAGGGGGAGGAGGGGAGGAACCUGAUCCUCGGUAGCGAAGGGCUGGAGGCAAACACCGAGCUCCCCCUGAGCCGCCUGGGAGCAGGGAGGGUUCUGCUACCCUGAGGGGCCCUCCCCGCGGGGCAGAGGGGUUUCCUCAGCAGUGCCCCGGAGCAGGGACCGCGCCAGCCAGCAGAAACAGCUAGUUGUUGUCUGCAGUGAAGAAUAAUUGGAAGCAUGGUGCCUGUUUCUUUUCCUGUGGGAGGAAGUCACAGCAUCUACUUCUGAAUCUGUGCUUGCCUUGAGGAAAAACGGCAUGGCACAGGAAUGUGGACGCUUUCAACCAGAGGAUUCUGUACGACGGUGUCGGCACACAAGGAGUGUUCCACUGACUGACCUCUUUUUGUUUUCAAAUGAAGAGGAGCCAAGAAUAGGACAGCUUGGGAAGGUGAGCUGCGUAUAGCUCGUCAGGCUGAGCUCAUCCUCGUCUACGGCCAAACGUUGGUUUCUCAUUUCUAGAAGAUGAAAGAUGUGAUGACUCAGGAAAAACUUGCUGCUCGAGAUGUGAGUCUUCAGAUGUUCCUGCCGCCAUAUCUGACAGCUGCUGCCAAGAUUCCCUGGUGGGAUGGACUCUUAUACCUCAACAACCAGAAGCCCAAGUAAACUCUUCUAUAAAUUGAAUGACUCAUGCUUAAAAAAAAAAACAAAAAACAAACUAUCUUUA